AUUGAACGCUGGCGGCAGGCCUAACACAUGCAAGUCGAACGGUAACAGGAAGAAGCUUGCUUCUUUGCUGACGAGUGGCGGACGGGUGAGUAAUGUCUGGGAAACUGCCUGAUGGAGGGGGAUAACUACUGGAAACGGUAGCUAAUACCGCAUAACGUCGCAAGACCAAAGAGGGGGACCUUCGGGCCUCUUGCCAUCGGAUGUGCCCAGAUGGGAUUAGCUAGUAGGUGGGGUAACGGCUCACCUAGGCGACGAUCCCUAGCUGGUCUGAGAGGAUGACCACCAACACUGGAAGUGAUCCCCGGUCCAGUCCCCUAGGGGGGGCAGCAGGGGGAAAUUUUGCACAAGGGCCGCAGCCUUGAUGCAGCCGUCCGGCUUGAAGAAAGAAGGCGUUGGGGUUGUAAAUUUCUUUCAGGGGGGAGAAAGGGAAAAAAUUUAUUCCCUUCCCUCAUGGCCUUUCCCCAAAAAAGAAGCCCCGCCUACCCCCGUC
rnacentral:rRNA from 1 species